rnacentral:rRNA from 1 species
UACGGAGGGUGCGAGCGUUGUCCGGAAUCAUUGGGCGUAAAGGGCGCGUAGGUGGCUUCUUAAGCGUGCGGUGAAAGCCUGGGGCUCAACCCCGGGUCGGCCGUGCGAACUGGGGGGCUGGAGCACUGUAGAGGCAGGCGGAAUUCCGGGUGUAGCGGUGGAAUGCGUAGAGAUCGGGAGGAACACCGGUGGCGAAGGCGGCAUCCUGGACCAACACUGACACUGAGGAGCGAAAGCCAGGGGAGCAAACGGG